GACGAACGCUGGCGGCGUGCUUAGCACAUGCAAGUCGAACGGAAAGGCCCUGCUUUUGUGGGGUGCUCGAGUGGCGAACGGGUGAGUAACACGUGAGUAACCUGCCCUUGACUUUGGGAUAACUUCAGGAAACUGGGGCUAAUACCGGAUAGGAGCUCCUGCUGCAUGGUGGGGGUUGGAAAGUUUCGGCGGUGGGGGAUGGACUCGCGGCUUAUCAGCUUGUUGGUGGGGUAGUGGCUUACCAAGGCUUUGACGGGUAGCCGGCCUGAGAGGGUGACCGGCCACAUUGGGACUGAGAUACGGCCCAGACUCCUACGGGAGGCAGCAGUGGGGAAUAUUGCACAAUGGGCGGAAGCCUGAUGCAGCAACGCCGCGUGCGGGAUGACGGCCUUCGGGUUGUAAACCGCUUUCGCCUGUGACGAAGCGUGAGUGACGGUAAUGGGUAAAGAAGCACCGGCUAACUACGUG
rnacentral:rRNA from 1 species